GUCUACAGCCAUACCACCCUGAAUGUGCCCAAUCUCAUCUGAUGUCAGAAGCUAAGCAGAGUCGGGCCUGGUUAGUACUUGGAAGGGAGAAAUGUGAUAUUUUGAUGGCAGCAUGAAAUUUUGGCUAGGGCAGAAU
ensembl:rRNA 5S_rRNA 5S ribosomal RNA